rnacentral:sRNA from 1 species
CCCUUGGAGUGUUAUAGCAAACAAAAGUAGCUCAGGUGAAAUUGGACACGGUGAAUAGGGAA